rnacentral:rRNA from 1 species
AGCGAACGUUGGCAGUGUGUCUUAAGCAUGCAAGUCGAACGGCAGCAGGCCAUAUAGCAAUAUAUGGUGCUGGCGAGUGGCGAACUGGUGAGUAACGCGUAAGAAUCUACCCUCUGGGGGGGGAUAACUCAUGGAAACAUGAGCUAAUACCGCAUGAAGCCGAAAGGUAAAAGGAGAAAUCCGCCAGUGGAUGAGCUUGCGUCCCAUUAGCUAGUUGGUAGGGUAAAGGCUUACCAAGGCGAUGAUGGGUAGCUGGCCUGAGAGGGUGGUCAGCCACACUGGGACUGAGAUACGGCCCAGACUCCUACGGGAGGCAGCAGCUAAGAAUCUUCCUCAGUGGGGGAAACCCUGAAGGAGCGACACUGCGUGCAGGAUGAAGGCCCUUUGGGUUGUAAACUGCUUUUGUAGGGGAUAAAUAACCGAAUGGGAUGAUAGUACCCUACGAAUAAGUCCCGGCUAACUACGUGCCAGCAGCCGCGGUAAAACGUAAGGGGCGAACGUUGCUCGGAAUUACUGGGCGUAAAGGGCCGGUAGGUGGCUUUAUAAGUCAGUUGUCAAAUACCCAUGCUCAACGUGGGAACGGCGACUGAUACUGUAGAGCUUGAGUAGAGGAGGGGAUGACGGAAUACCCGGUGUAGGGGUGAAAUCUGUUGAUAUCGGGUA